rnacentral:lncRNA from 1 species
UGAACCACCUGUUCUUCUCCUGUGGGGGGUGUGAGACAGCAAGGGUGAGCUCACACAUGAUCAUAGCUCAACAAGUUGUGGGGAACCAGUGGACAUAAACUCACAAAGGUGUGAGUUCAUGUGAUGUGUAAGGCUAAUCAAUGAUAGGGGUUAAAGCUGAGCAUUGCUUUUAAGUAGUUGGUCAAAAUUUUAUUAGCAGUUACUAAGUGUAAGUAAAUACCAAACCAUAAGUAAAGUAAUAGAACAAAAUUAAUAACAACCCAUGCAAUGCAAAUGACAAAAUUGAAUUUAAGUUCCAUAAUUUAAUCAUGUGAGUGUCCGAGCCGCUCAUGACCGUGAGCACGGCUAGUAUACCAGUUUUACACUCUACAGAGGUUGCGCAUCUUUACCCACAAGUCGUGUUACCCAUUUGCCACGGAGUUGAUCAGACCCCAUACACCUCUACCAACGAAGCGAGGCAGGGUACCACUACGAGGCCUUUACAAAGUUCCACUAGCUUCAGACUACCCACUACAGUUUAUAGGAAGGUCCAGUGCAGGAAUCCCUCGCCCGACCGCCAUCGCAACAAAAUCAACCCAAGGACCUCCCUACACUGACCACUCCCCUACUGCCCUUGCCCCUUUCGGGUAAGGUAGCCCUCCACUAGCUUUCCUAGUUAAUCAGCCAAGGGCGUCCCAUUAAACCCUUGUGGUAGCACUAUUUUCCCGGGUGGUUCUCCAUGUUCCCAUUAACAUAAUGAUCUUAUCAUGAACAUAAAAUAAUGAACAGAUAACAAAAAGUGUAAUCAUGAGUGAUAAAUAGCUCUAUACCCAAAUCCACAUAAAGCAAUAGCAUGUACUACCCAAAACUUUAGUAGUAAAACCAGUGGUGAAACAAGGUAUAAAGAUAGUCAAAUCUAAGGUAUCCUAUUGGGUCCCAUCAAAAUUAACCUAUGCAGAUCAUUAUGAAUAAUGAGAACAUGAAUGGGUAAAAGAAGUGAUCAAGGGCACAACUUGCCUUCAACGAGCUCCUACUUAGCAGUCUCUACCAGCUAAACCUCAGAUUCCACAGUGGCUUGCUCGUCUACUCGCAUCAACACAAUACAUACAUAGCAUAGCAUAAAUUAACAUCACAUCAAACAUGCAAAUAGAAUAUACAGUAAUAAACUAGACAUUAAAAUAAGAUCACAGGAACUGGAAUCAUUAAAUUUGGAGGUAUAGAUUUUAAGUUAUGGAUUUUCUAAUGUUUUAUGUGCUUAAUACAAGGUUAAGUGCUAGAUAAAUUUUAAAUCAUCUUUCAUGUUAAAACAGAGACACUAAUGGUUAGACAAUAAUAUUAUAAAAAUUUAGGAACUGGAAUGGACCAAAUUGGAGUUCAUAUGAAUUUUCUACAAUUUAAACAAGUUCUAGCAUUUAUUUAUGCAUUAAAAACUAAUUUCUGUUUUAUUUUCUAUGGUUUUACUGUUGUCUGGACUGGGCACAAUAAUACCGGAAAGAGCAGGGACGACCCCGCAAGAAUCCCGAGACACCGCCCACAGUGCGUGGGACGGCGGGUUGAUACCUAAAUAUUUUGGGGGCCUAUAUGCAAGUCUACACUAGCGAAGGGGUAUCACGAGGUGUCGGCCGCUCGAUCCACUACAGACGGCACAGAUUAGAAGUUUUCAAUAGUAAAUCGGUAUGAAGCUACGAUCGUCUGAUAUUAAUCCGAGGGUCAAGAUUUUAUGAAGUGAGAUUAAACCACACCCGCACGAUCGAUUAUCAACGCUCAAGAUCAUUUCUCCCUGAACCGGUAACCUAGGUCUAAUCAAGGCCAUCGAAUCCGGAUCCGACGGCACACAGCCCCGUUCCGACUACGGACGAGCAUGGUGGCGGCGACGCCCAGCGCGCACGGCAAAGGCUCGCCGGAGAAAUCCAAACGCGCUCUCGGGUUGUCCAUUACCCAUCCUGACUAGUGCAAAACGAAGCCAAUAGAACCACAAGGGUAUACACGGUGAUUUUACCGUCGAUUAGGCUCCGAGGAAGUUCGUCCUCGCUGCGCGGUGGCUCGGCCGUGAGAGCCGAAGUCCGGCGGGCGAUUUCACCCACACCAGACGAUGUCUGCGCCCGAUGAACCGCGUCUGCCCGAUCCUUGCACGAUGGUGAGCCCUCACGACCCUUCUCCGACCACCGACCGUCAGCGGAGGUGGGGAGUCGAGUGCGGCGGCCGCCAGAGUUCUCUCCUCUCUCGCUUCUCUCCGAUCUGGUUACGAGGCGCCGAGGUGGAU